CAUAGAAAUCUGAUAGUAUGAAAAUUUUUAUUUUUAAUGUCAAUGAAUAAAAAUACAAGCUAUACAUAAAUAAGCCAAAGUGUCUGAUAUGUAUAUCACAUAGGUAUCCUGUAUAUAGAUCAUACCUCAAAGAGACUUAUGUCCUGGCAAAAAUAAAUGUCUUUGUCCUGGUGUAACAGUAAUUUAAAACAUUUAUUCUAGUGGAGGUUAAGUGUUCCUGGAAACUUUUGGUUCAGGAUUCUAAGAGUGGCUGGAGAAGAUGAGUUUAAACAUUCUCUUCAUAGAACUUAUUUACUAACAUAAUAACCUAAAAGUAAUAAACAGAGUGAGAUGUAAUAACUGAUUCUGAGUUUUAAAAUACUGUGAGAGAAAAUGUAAAUACCAAGCUUUUGCUUAAGGAGAUAACUUCAUUAAUAUAAUUCUGCCUAUCUAUGUGCUUACCUACCUUUCUGCCUAGCUAUCAUACAAAGUAAAUAUUUGCAAAUUGUUUAUGUUCUAAAACUGAUCAUUCAUGUACAGCAUAACCAAAAACUUGGCCAGCAUUCAGCAGCAAUUAUAACAGAGGAAAAGCAUUCUCUCUGUGGUGUUCAAUAUCAAUUUACUAAGUUGUCCUUGAUAGACAGUUCCAAGGUUGCAUAUGAGUUCAAACCUCAAUAGGUUUCCUCCAGGAUAUAUGCUUUAAGUUGGACAGGAACUUGUUAAGCUCCACAAAUAACAUUGAUAUAACAAAUUUAAGCUUCCUGCUGAAUAUUAACUGUAUACUAAAUACUACAUUGACACUAAUAAUAGCUACUAUUGAGCAUUUAUCAGGAAUGUUGAAAUGAUAGAAACUUCACAGAUUAUUGUAACUCACUUCUGCAUUUAAAGCAAGAGGAACAAGUUGUAGAGAAAUCAGAGUGAUUUAUCCAAAGUCAGUUGGUGACAGGUAAGAGAUCCUGGCUUUUAAUUCAAUGCUAUUUCUAUUGCAUCCGCUGGUUUUAAAUGGCCUUCCAUAAUUUGAUGGAGUCUGAUAAGGCUCUUUGGAUUUUUAGAAGGUAAUUUCCUGUACCUGGUUUGUAUAUGUCACUUCAUCCUCAAUUUUAUGUGAACAUAUUACCAUUCAUAUCACGUUAGAAUAAAAGAUACUGAAGGGAAGAGUCUGACAAAACAGAUAAAAUGGCUUUCUUUGUUAAGAUCAAACACAUUCUGUAUAAUAUAUGUAUCUACAUAUGUAUAUAUAUCAUUAUGCAUUUAAUACAAUGUCAGAAGCAUAAAUCAAAUAUAUUUUUAAAUAUACCUUGUUUUUCUCUUCCAUACAUCAAGCAUCUACCUUAUAUUCUGCUGUUAGUUUUUCACUAAUUUGUGUCCAGGGAAUGUAUAUUUGCUCAAGAAUCAGUCAAAGUAAAACUUUUUUUUUUUCUGGAAAAAUUAUGUAAUAUGCACAUACAUCUACACACAAACACACAUAUACACAGAGACACAUGCAGAUGGACUCAAAAGUCAAAUGUCUAUAUAAAUAUGUAUGUUUGUAAACACACAUCUAUACACACACAAAUAAUCUAUUUUAUCUGUGUGAUGUUACCUCUAUCAACACAUAUAAUUAUGAAACUAUUUCUAUAAUUUGUAUGUCUAGAUGCAUAAACAAUGCAUAUUUCCUAUAUAUUUUUUUAAGUACUUCUUUAUGUAACAGUUGUUUGUAGAUGUGUUUGGGGACAACAUCUCUGGUUGGUUUGUGGUUGGUUUAUAUUUUCAUUUAAAUCUAUACAGUCCACUGCUUACUUUGUAAACCCCAUAAUUCAAAUGUAUAGAUCAUCCAGUAUUCAAGAUUAAUUAGUAUCAUGGCUCUUUUCAUCUCAGAAAACACUAUUAAGACAACAUUCUAAACAUUUGAGGGGAAUAAUCUUAAAAUCAUAUUAUAGGUUUUUUAAUUUUUUUGAAAAGUAACUGGCU
rnacentral:lncRNA from 1 species